rnacentral:pre_miRNA from 1 species
GGCCUCCCUCUUUGGGGUGAUUGAUCAUGGGGCUCUGUGAUCGAUCACCCAGCAGAGGGAGGCC